rnacentral:rRNA from 1 species
AGUGGCGGACGGGUGAGUAACGCGUGGGUAACCUGCCUCAUACAGGGGGAUAACAGUUAGAAAUGACUGCUAAUACCGCAUAAGACCACAGCACCGCAUGGUGCAGGGGUAAAAACUCCGGUGGUAUGAGAUGGACCCGCGUCUGAUUAGGUAGUUGGUGGGUAACGGCCUACCAAGCCGACGAUCAGUAGCCGACCUGAGAGGGUGACCGGCCACAUUGGGACUGAGACACGGCCCAA